AAGAAAGAGGAAUUUGAAGGCCGAGUGGAAGAGUUUAAAUCACAAGAGAAGGACUUUGAAAGCCGAGUAAAGGGGUUUGAAUCAAAAGAGAAGGACUUUGAAAGCCGAGUGAGGAAGUUUGAAUCAGUAGAGAAGGACUUUGAAAGCCUAGUGAAGAAGUUUGAAUCAGUAGAGAAGGACUUUGAAAGCCGAGUGAGGAAGUUUGAAUCAGUAGAGAAGGACUUUGAAAGCCGAGUGAAGAAGUUUGAAUCAGUAGAGAAGGACUUUGAAAGCCGAGUGAGGAAGUUUGAAUCAGUAGAGAAGGACUUUGAAAUCCGAGUGAGGAAGUUUGAAUCAGUAGAGAAGGACUUUGAAAGCCGAGUU
rnacentral:lncRNA from 1 species